rnacentral:rRNA from 1 species
AAAAGUUAUUACUCUAGGUUUCAAAAAAAAUAAAAUGAUCUAAUACUCUUUACUAAAAAACACUUACCCUAAGACAGUAAACCCACUUGAAAUCUUUAACAACCCAAUAGAAAGUAGUACCGAAAGGGAAAGAUGAAAUAAUAUUAACUAAUAAACCCUAAAAAGGAAAGAUUACCCCUUUUACCUUGUGUAUAAUGGAUUAACGAGCCCACCAAAAAAUUAUUUUAGCCCCGAAACUGGACGAGCUAAUCUUACCUUCUUUUUAGAAGAAAACUCCCACUGUUGCAAUAGUGGGGAAAAAGGAAAGAUUAGAUGUAAAAUGCUAACCGCGCCCAGAGAUAGCUGGUUCCCCAAGAAAUUAGUUUAAGCUAAGCCUUAAAACCAAAAAUAAAAGAACUUUAAACUAUAAAGACAAACUUUAGAACUUUUGGACAAAGGUCAGGGCUUUAAGGAUAAGCCUAAAGCCCAAAAUGGAAAACUCCAACCCUAAUAGAAAAAGACAAUAAACUCUUAAAAUAGUUAUUAUAAAAGAAGUAGGCUUAGAAGCAGCCACCUAAAAAGAAAGCGUUAAAGCUUAAUUAUAACAACCAACUAAAAAAUUUUUGAAGAAAUCUCUGACGCUAUAGGAAAUUAUUGGGGCCUUCUGUUCUCAGAAGAGACAAUGUUAAUAUUAGUAAGAAAAAAUUUCACCUGCGUUUUAUCCCUCCCUAACCUUGGAAAUAAAAACAUUGAAACUAGAAAAGCUGUUUUAAGAGCCGUCUUCCAACCCAGGAGAAAAAAAAUUAAUAAAAUGAAGAAAAGGAACUCGGCAAAUGCUGGUUUCGCCUGUUUACCAAAAACAUCGCUCCCCGAACUUAAAAGUAUGAGGAGUCCUGCCUGCCCAGUGACUAGAGGUUAAACGGCCGCGGUAUCUUGACCGUGCGAAGGUAGCAUAAUCAUUUGUCUUCUAAAUAAAGACUAGUAUGAAUGGCAAGACGGAACUAAACUGUCUCUUUUUCACAGAUCCGAAUUUCACUUCCCCGUGAAGAGGCGGGGCUAAAAUCGUUAGACGAGAAGACCCUGUCGAGCUUAUAGCAAAAGAUUAACCGCUAAAACACCUAAACUGCCCUAAUUCAUACAUUUUAGACACGAUAGAUUUUUGGGAUUAAGAUGGAGCUUUGGUUGGGGCAACCGCGGAGUAAGAAAAACCUCCGCUAAAAAUAUUAAUUAUUAAAUUAAGAACUACAGUUCUAAAAUCAAAAUGAUAAAAUGAUCCAUUUAGAUGACCAAAGGAACAAGUUACCGCAGGGAUAACAGCGUUAUCUUUUCUGAGAGUUCACAUUGACGAAAAGGUUUGCGACCUCGAUGUUGGAUCGGGACAUCCUAAGGGUGCAGAAGCUUUUAAGGGUUGGUCUGUUCGACCAUUAAAGUCCUACGUGAUCUGAGUUCAGACCGGCGAAAGCCAGGUCAGUUUCUAUCUACGUAAUUAUUCUCCUUAGUACGAAAGGACCAGGAAAAAAGUGUCCAUACAGAAAUGUAAACACUUAAAUUAAAAAC